ensembl:piRNA 21ur-7959 ncRNA
UGCUAACUUAUUGGAAAGAAA